AGUUUUAAGACUGGAAGAUCCUGAGGAAAGUCACUGCUCCCUGCCCUGGGUUCCCAUCCAGGCCACUUUAGAGGCAAGGCUGUACUGCUGAGAAGAGAUUCUAAAUCCAGCUGGAAAAUGUCCCUCAGCAGGACCCACAGAGGAUAACAUUGAAAAAGGCAGUUUGACCUCCAGGUGGAGAGGGACAAGGCCUACUGUGUGAAGAAGAUGGUGGCCUCAUUCCCCUGCAGCUACCAGCUCCACAAGACAGGUGGCCGUCGCAGGCCUCUACCCCAACCUGGCCCAUCGGAGAUCCUGGCUCUGUAGGCAGAGCAGAGGACCAAGCCUUGCUCUCUGGCCACUCCAGCUCCUUAGGGGAAGUAGGUGUGUGUCUCCUCGAGAGGGUCUAAGCCAUAUCUCACUUCUCCACUGUCUUUCUCCAGGACAGUGUCCCCAAGAUGUACGUCUCAGCCAGGACCCCCAGAGCAGCCAGAAAAAGAGAUUGAGAGAAGCACACAGCCCCUCCCCAAGAUCCAGGUAUGUUUGGGAUGCUUGUUCUAGCCACAGGUACACUGAGAGACUGGGCAUGGUCUCUGGGAUGGCAGAGGUCCAGGAUUCUCAGCCUUUCACCUGGAUCGAUGAUAUCAUGGAUGUGGGAGGCUCAGCCUGGGAGCCUGCCUGGUUCCAGCAAGUGGAAGGUUUGAAAGACAGCAAGAAAGCCACAGGACUGGAGUAUGACUUGGUGGGCAAGUGCUUGCCCAGCAUGGAAGAGCCUUGGGUUUCACCUUGGCACUUACUGACAAGAAAACAGAAGGAGAGAAAGAGGGAGGAGGGUGUCCAUUCCUCUGGCCUGCAGGAUAAUCUAAGAGAUGCCCUACUGUCACUUAGAUACAGUUCCAGGAGCUGGAGACACGGUCAGCAGAGUGCUUGCUUCGUGCACGAACUGCUGGGUCUCAUCCCCAGUGCAGAGUAAACUGCAUGGUGGUACACAUCUAUGAUCUCAGCGCUUGGGAGAUAAAGGCAGAAGGAUGGGAAAUUCAAGGUCAUUCUCAACUAUAUUGUAAGUCAGAGCUAACCUGGGCUACACGAGAUUCUGUCUCAGAAAAGAGAAGAGGAGAAGAGGCACCUGGGCCAGAGAUGACCACCUGAGAGCCCAGGCUGGGACUGGGAGGACAGGGGACUUUUGCCUGCAGGGCCCUGGAGCUCAGGCUAGGGAUCGUCCUAACCCCACCCCCCACCCCCAACCCCUGUUGAUUGUAGUCAGAGGGUUUGACCUGAUGUGGGGGCAUGAGGAAGACAUUUUAGUUAAUGGUCUCCAGUCAUGUAUGUACGGAAAGCUGUCAAUACAAUGGUAGCCACACA
rnacentral:lncRNA from 1 species